GGCCUACGGGAGGCAGCAGUGGGGAAUAUUGCACAAUGGGCGCAAGCCUGAUGCAGCCAUGCCGCGUGUGUGAAGAAGGCCUUCGGGUUGUAAAGCACUUUCAGUCAGGAGGAAAGGUUAGUAGUUAAUACCUGCUAGCUGUGACGUUACUGACAGAAGAAGCACCGGCUAACUCCGUGCCAGCAGCCGCGGUAAU
rnacentral:rRNA from 1 species